CAGAGUUGUUCUGAAACCACAAGUAGUAAUAGACUACAAUAACACCAUGGGAGGGGUCGACAGAGCGGACCAAGCAAUGACAUUCUACCCAGCAAUGCGGAAACAGCAA